UACGUAGGGUGCGAGCGUUAAUCGGAAUUACUGGGCGUAAAGCGUGCGCAGGCGGUUAUGUAAGACAGGUGUGAAAUCCCCGGGCUUAACCUGGGAACUGCAUUUGUGACUGCAUAGCUAGAGUACGGUAGAGGGGGAUGGAAUUCCGCGUGUAGCAGUGAAAUGCGUAGAUAUGCGGAGGAACACCGAUGGCGAAGGCAAUCCCCUGGACCUGUACUGACGCUCAUGCACGAAAGCGUGGGGAGCAACAGG
rnacentral:rRNA from 1 species